rnacentral:rRNA from 1 species
GACGAACGCUGGCGGCGUGCCUAAUACAUGCAAGUAGAACGCACAGUUUAUACCGUAGCUUGCUACACCAUAGACUGUGAGUUGCGAACGGGUGAGUAACGCGUAGGUAACCUGCCUGGUAGCGGGGGAUAACUAUUGGAAACGAUAGCUAAUACCGCAUAAUAUUAAUUAUUGCAUGAUAAUUAAUUGAAAGGUGCAAUUGCACCACUACCAGAUGGACCUGCGUUGUAUUAGCUAGUAGGUGAGGUAACGGCUCACCUAGGCGACGAUACAUAGCCGACCUGAGAGGGUGAUCGGCCACACUGGGACUGAGACACGGCCCAGACUCCUACGGGAGGCAGCAGUAGGGAAUCUUCGGCAAUGGACGAAAGUCUGACCGAGCAACGCCGCGUGAGUGAAGAAGGUUUUCGGAUCGUAAAGCUCUGUCGUAAGAGAAGAACGGGUGUGAGAGUGGAAAGUUCACACUGUGACGGUAUCUUACCAGAAAGGGACGGCUAACUACGUG